rfam:Brachypodium distachyon strain Bd21 chromosome 1, whole genome shotgun sequence.
UAUAUACUUCCUCCGUCUCAUAUUAAGUGUCAAAGUAUUAUAUAUAUCUAGACGUAUUUUAAUAUACAAAUACGUCCAUAUUUAGACAAAUUUGAGUCAUUAAAUAUGGGACGGAGGGAGUAGAUG